rnacentral:pre_miRNA from 8 species
AUGGAAACCCUAGGUCGGCUGACUCCUAGUCAAGGGCUCGUGGUGGCUGGUGGGCCCUGAACGAGGGGUCUGGAGGCCUGGGUUUGAAUAUCACCAG